rnacentral:rRNA from 1 species
UACGUAGGGGGCAAGCGUUGUCCGGAAUCACUGGGCGUAAAGCGCGUGUAGGCGGAAGGGUAAGUCGCCUGUGAAAGCGCCUGGCUUAACUGGGCGAGGUCGGGCGAAACUGCCCAUCUGGAGGCCGGUAGAGGGGGGUAGAAUUCCCGGUGUAGUGGUGAAAUGCGUAGAGAUCGGGAGGAAUACCUGUGGCGAAGGCGGCCCCCUGGGCCGCGCCUGACGCUGAGACGCGAAGGCUAGGGGAGCGAACGGG